AGUGAACGCUGGCGGCAGGCCUAACACAUGCAAGUCGAACGGCAGCACAGCAGUAGCAAUACUGUGGGUGGCGAGUGGCGGACGGGUGAGGAAUACAUCGGAAUCUGCCUAGUCGUGGGGGGAUAACGUAGGGAAACUUACGCUAAUACCGCAUACGACCUACGGGUGAAAGCGGGGGAUCGCAAGACCUCGCGCGAUUAGAUGAGCCGAUGUCCGAUUAGCUAGUUGGCGGGGUAAUGGCCCACCAAGGCGACGAUCGGUAGCUGGUCUGAGAGGAUGAUCAGCCACACUGGAACUGAGACACGGUCCAGACUCCUACGGGAGGCAGCAGUGGGGAAUAUUGGACAAUGGGCGCAAGCCUGAUCCAGCCCAUGCCGCGUGGGUGAAGAAGGCCUUC
rnacentral:rRNA from 1 species